rnacentral:rRNA from 1 species
GACGGGUGAGUAACGCGUGGGUAACCUGCCCUGUACAGGGGGAUAACAGCUGGAAACGGCUGCUAAUACCGCAUAAGCGCACGAGGAGACAUCUCCUUGUGUGAAAAACUCCGGUGGUACAGGAUGGGCCCGCGUCUGAUUAGCUGGUUGGCAGGGUAACGGCCUACCAAGGCAACGAUCAGUAGCCAGUCUGAGAGGAUGAACGGCCACAUUGGAACUGAGACACGGUCCAAACUCCUACGGGAGGCAGCAUG